UCUGUUUAGUGUGUGAGUAUACCUGACAGAACUGUUUGGCUGUCGUUUGUUAUUUCUUUGCGAAGUGCUUUCAUUCAAAAAAUAAAAGAUGAGCACUCAACACGCUGCGCCUUGGUCUGUUCACUACGACGCCUGUGACAAAGCCAGGUGGGAUAGAGUUAAAAAAGCCCUCCCACUAUGGCAUGGACCAACUAUCUGUCAUUUUGAAGGCAGGCCGUAGCAUCAAGUUUACAGUUUCGGCACCCAGGGGAAACAAUCCCACCACUGGGGAAGAGGUGGUGGGAAAUGAUCAGGAGGAGGCACAAGAACCUGAGCAUGAGGAGGCCGGACACCAUAGACAGGGGGAGAGCGGAGUGUGCCACACGUCCGAUGAUGGACACCUUCUUUACUUCUUCUGAGAAGCACUUGGAGGAGAUUGGGUUGAGGGAGAAACCCAGACAAUUAUAUAACUGCGAUGAUUCUGGGUUUUGUAGCGACCAGGCACAAAGCGCUGGCUCCCCGGGGUGCAAAACACGUGUACCAGCAGGCUCCAGGGACCAAGGAGCACAUCACAGUGCUGGCCUGCUUCAACGCAGCUGGGGAGGAUGUCCCCCUGUUUAUCAUCUACCCCAAGUGUUUCCCCGGUGGCCACUACACACUGGGAGCCCCCCCCCUAAGCUUUGUAUGGACAGUCAAACAGUGGCUACAUUGACAGGGACCUGUUCAGGAAGUGGUUUCAGCACUUUAUUCAUUAUGCAGUGAAGGAGCGCCCUCUCUUUCUCUUCAAUGGACACAAGCCACAUGGACCUGGAGGUGCUCGUGGCGGCACUAAGGGAAGGGGUUAUACUUCUUUGUCUUCCACCACACUGCACCUAUGUCCUGCAGCUGCUGGACGUGGCAUACUUUGGCCCUUUAAAGGCUGAGUUCUCCAAGGUAGCUGGAGACCUCAGCCAUUUUGACCACUCCUACAUUGUAAACAAAUCAGAAUUUGCCAGAGUAUUCCAGAUGAGACCAUUGACUCCAUCGCCUCUGCUGAACCUCCUGCUGGAACCAUUCCUGACAGCUGCAUCGCCAGUGCCUCCCAGUGUCCAACACCUGUAAGAGCAUCCGUAGCCCCCAGCUGCAGAUAAAAGGCCAGAAAAAAUGCAACGUGCCUACACUCCCUGCCACACCAAUACAAACACCAGCCUCCAAACCAUCGUCGGCAGUGUCGCCCACGACCACCAUGAUGCACCCCCCCCAUCUGUCACCACCAAUGCGGCCUCCUCUGGACCAACUGCCUCCUCCGUCUCCCCUGGUCACACCACCAUAGCAGCUUCGUAUGGUGUCCCUGCCCCCUGCAAUUUGAAUACAGCCACCUCCACAGUCCAUAGCACCAGCCCUCAAGGCAUGUCCACCUCCUCCAAAACUUCGGCAGCUUCCUCCAGGGCACAGAAAAGGAAGAGAAAAGCUCCACCUGCCACCUCUGUCACGCUACUCAUGGCAGCACUCUCGGGGAGUGUGAUCCACCUGCAAGCUCCCGCAGGAGUGUAGGUCCGAGGUGCCAUAGGUGUGCUGUGACUUCUGCCAGCACUGGUUCUACUGCAGGUGUGUGCUGUGAAUUCUGCCAGCACUGGUUCUACUGCAGGUGUGUGCAGUGACUUCUGCCAGCACUGGUUCUACUGCAGGUGUGUGCAGUGACUUCUGCCAGCACUGGUUCUACUGCAGGUGUGUGCAGUGACUUCUGCCAGC
rnacentral:lncRNA from 1 species